UAUUUAGAAGCGGGAAUUGGGGCUUUCGUCGUCCUACUUCUAGAUUACGAUUAAGUCCCUUUUUAGCAUAGAAACUAGGGGUAUUUAGGUCUUUCUAUUUUUUAAUUACCCUGCCCACUUUGUGCUUUCUACAAACGACGAUUUUUGACCUUUUCCUUUGCGCUCUCUUUCUCUCUCAUCGAUACGCGCCUCUUGGUCUCUUUGGUUUGGAAGCUGUGAGUUAUUUUUCUAGGUCUGCAACUCUUGCGUUUUGACGGAUAUCCUGUGACCGCCCAAUUAUAUUUGGAAGAUGCUCUGUUCCGCUUGGGUUUGUCUUUCCGGCUUCGCUUUUCUGUUAUCUUUCAGCUUGCUGGCUGACAAGUGAGUACUCCGCGCUUGUCUUUUAUCUCCUCCUUUAGAUUUGUGUCUGCGUUAAUGGAUUGCAGUGGCCUCGGCAGCUUUUAAUUGCUACCCAAGAGUUGUUUGUGAACUAAUUUGAACUAAUUUAUUUGUACGGCUCUAUUGAAGUUGUACCAAAUUUUUUCUUCCCCUGUCUGCUUGCGACAUAAUCUAUAAUCAUGAAAACCUAAGAAACUACAACUAGCUUUAGUUGAAGAGUAGGAUAGAACUUAAAGCAAAUUGAUGGUUCAUGAGUUCUCCAACUGUGAGAAGGAACCUCUGCAUGUGAGAAUGAAUAUAACAUCAAGAUAAUGAAUUUUGGAAAAAUUCUUUAUUUUGUGAGACAUGUUAGCAAAAUUUCUAGGAUUAUUCUUUGAGAAGUAUAGAACUUAUUCCAUUACGUCCUGCAAAUGCACAACUUUUAAAUGGAGUUCAGGAUUUUUGAAGUUAGCAAGUACGUUAGAGACCACCCUCUUACAACCACAAAUAUCACCCUUUAAGAGAAAUUCUUACAUUUUACGCAUUUAUAAGACAUCAUGUAAAUCUGUUCAUAUGUAUAGCCAAAGUUGCGGUAUUUGACUGCUAUGUAGAGUAUAAAAGAUUGAUAUUGUAAUCUUUCUUAUUCCUUUUCUCAUCUUAUGUUUAAUCAAUGUAAGAACUCAAAUAUUUGAGCGAUCCAAGUAUCCAACUUUCGUGGGUGAGACAACCCUUAGAAUUAUAAGAUAUAUCACACCUCCUUUUUCCGCCCCCGCGAGGGUACAAGGGAGUUUUUUCCAAUUAAAGGACAAUUGAAACGGGAUUUAUUUAUUUCUUUCAGAGUCGCCACUUGGGAGAUUUAGGGUGUCCCAAGUCACCAAUUUUAAUCAUGAAUCGAGGAAAAUAAUGACUUUAUAUUACAGUCUGCGAACCAGAAAUCCGGAUAAGGAAUUCUGUUAAUCCGGGAGAAGGUGUUAGGCAUUCCCGAGUUCCGUGGUUCUAGCACGGUCGCUCAACUGUUAUAUUUGGCUUGAUUAUUUAAUUUUUUACAAUUAGGAGUUUCUGUGUAAAUUUUAUCCCUUUACCGCUUUUAUGAUUAUAUUUUAAAAGAAUGUGAACAUCAUAUAAAAAUAUGUCUUUAAAUUGCGUCACAUGAAAUGCACCCGCAAUCCGGAACACAUUUUAUUCAAUGUUUUGGGAUUUGGAUUUGGGUCGCAUGAAAUGCGCACCCGAGUUUAGGAAAAUUAAAUUAUUAAAUGCGUUCCUAAAGCGACUAGCGUAUCAUUUACUUUGAGUAGGGCCAUGAAAGUUUGCUAAACGGCCCGUCCCGAAGUCUAAAUAAAAACGUAUAGAGGACCACGCAGCCUAUGUAUUUUUUUUUUUGGCGAGGCUCGUCUCGUUCCUUAUCUUUUACAAAAUAAACUCAUCCUAAACUGGCUACAUUCUUUUGUCCGUCCCUAAAAUGAAAGAAGAAGACUUCCUAACUUAGUUACAUGCUCACAAGUUAUUAUAAUUGGGUUUCAAGCACAACACUUUGAUUUUGAAAGUGAAUGCGUACAUGGGCCAUUUUUGUUUAAAUGUUGGGCUUAGAUAAUUAUCUUGUACAUGCAUGAAGUUUUUUAAAAGGCGGAUAUGAAAGUACUAUCUAAUUACACAUGUUCUUGCAAAUUUGUAAAAAUAUUAGAACAAACUAACCAUUCUCUUAUUGGUUUAAAAUAACAGUUUUAGAUGAGUGGGGCUACCGAAAUUAACUUCUAGCAGAUAUUAACAAACUGGAUUCAAAUACUAGCCUAUAUACUGCUUAAUGGAAUUAGCGUAUUGGUAGAGUUGAUUAAAUUAUUACAGCUACAUUGCACCAAGAAGAAUGACUAACAUUAAUCCAUUAGGAUACACAGUCCUAAAGUCCACCUUAAAUACAAACAGACACUAACUAUAUGGGAAACUAAAGCAGUAGUAAACAUUUGCACUUCAAGUUCUCUCUCAAUCAGGCUUCAUUCAAUUUGACAUCAAUACAUCGCUCAAGAUGGAGAUAAAUACCUGGUUUGGAUAACAGAACGAAAAGAAAGAAGAAUAAUCAGCAGCAGUACAACAGCAAUAGCAAUAGUAGGUUCAGCAGUAUCCCGCAAUACAACCAGUAAAACCAAUAACAGAUAAACCAGUAGCAGAUUGAAAAACCCAACAGCAAACUUAAGAAUAUUCAAUAGUAACUUCAAGCAAAAUCAACAGCAACGCCAAGCGAAUCCCAGUAAUACAAAAAUGCAGCCACAGUCAAAGCAGAAGAGAAAUAGAUGCAAAGCAACAAUAGUUGCCUUCUUUGAACACUCAGACGAAACAAACUGAUGCUAUUGAAAUAAACCUCAGCCUUAUCCCUCUUGAAAAUACAAUGGUCUUUUAGGUUAAGAGGUACAUCCUAAUGUCACUCUUUUUCCAAAAAAAAAUUCUGUCCAAUUCUCCUUUUUUUUUUAGUCUGCCUUUUUUCUAAAAUCUAUUUUUCUCCCUUUCAGAUCAUUCCCCCCUUUUCUCUUUUUUAGUCUGCCUUUUCUUCUAAAAUCUCUGUUCAGCUCUCUCCCAGAUAGUCUGUUCCCACUCUCUUCUUUUUUUUCUGUGCAGAUUUUUUCCUGCCCUAGAUAAUCUGUUUUUUUUUUCUUUCUGUUCUUCUAGGUAUAUAUAUAACCAAACAGAUUAGCCCCCCUUUGAAAAACUUCACUUACCCGACCCUAAUCCCAAAAAAAUCUGCCCAUUUUCAACAAAAUCUCACUAAGGAAUGCUUUUCCUUACUUUAUUCCCUAAAUUAAGGCAUGAUAUGAGGGCUUGUCCUCCACUAACAAUAAACUAAUAUAUAAGUCUUUGUCUUAUUAGUGAUUGACUAACAGACCAUUAAUUUAGUCAAUUCUGCCCAUAUUCCAUUCCCAAAAUACCCCUGUAAUCCUACUGUUAUUACUGCCCUCCUAACACAAACACUAUUGUAUUACAACUUUUAAAGUCUGCCUACCUUUUAACAAAGACUUAAGAUUAAAACUGAUUUCAAAUGUACCCAAACUUAUUUCUGAUUACUGAAGGACUAAAGCUGAAUUCUUAUUGAAACAAUUGAAUAAAAACCAAACUAACACAACACAGAACUCAACAGAAUUAUUGAAGCUGAAAUUGAAACUUGAAUCAAUAUGCACAUGAAUGAAGGUAAUGUGAAUGCAGGUUCAUUGUUAGCUUAAUGACAAUGCCCCGAAACUAAAACUGAAAUAUGCACAUGAAUACAAACAUCAGGAAUGCAAGUUCAUUCCUGAAAUCAAAUGGCCCUUGAUCAAAUAUACACAACAAACGUUUGACAAACUUUCUGUUUUAACAAACGAGAGUGAAUUAACUGUCGAAACUAAUUAAUGGACAUGCUUAUAACAACUGAUAUCAAACAAUCAGACCCCGGACAAUUUAGGCAAACAGGUUGUUUCAAUCAACAUUAACAGGAACAAGAAUUUAUAAUAAAACAACUAAUCGACGAACUUAAUCGAGUCGAUUACACACAUUGUAAACAAUUACAACAAACAGAAACAAUGUUAUAAUUUGAUCGAAUAAAUGGGUAUAGUGGAUAUGAGACAGAAUCAAGUAAAAAAUAGGAAAAUUAUACAGAUUACUAAAACAGGCAAUAAUACACACAUAGGGUACAAAAGAAAAACAGGGAAAAUACCUCUGAAUCUUCAAAAUUAUACGGACCCAGGUUCAAAGUCAGACCUAAGCAUUUUGAGGUUGAACAGACUUUAAUUGAAGUGUUCUCAACUGAGAACACCUCGAUUAAAGUCUAUUAGGCCCCAACCCUCCAAUUAAUUUGGUCAGAUUCCAUGAUUGAAAUUUUAGGGUUCCGUUUUUUUUCAGAUUUAGGGCUCAAACAUUUCUGGGCAGAUUCGAAGGGAAUCAAGGGUGGUUUAGGGGUAAAGGAGGCCUGGGGGUCACCUGGUAUGAAUUUGAAAAGGAUCUGGGCAGUUCCUAUUUGGCUCGAAUCUUCAAAUAAAGAUUCGAGCAGUCCUAGGAAGAUCCGACCUAAGCCAUUACCGGAUCUAUGACGAGGGUAGUCGGGAUAAGCUAGGGUGUUGAUUUGGAAGCCAUCGGAGAAAGUUAGGUUUUCAGACCAAACUUUGAUCGAAUAUUCGAGAUAUUGGGGUCUGAUUCGAGGUAAUCUAUGAUGAUAGUUGGAACGGGGAGGUUGAGAAGAGUUAAGGGUGUUAAAAUGGAGUCAUUUGGACCACCAGAACCGCCGUGAGGCAAUUUCCGGUGGGUGGUUGACGGUGGUUAACGGUGGGGUUCAUCUGGUCUCUGAAUAUCAGAGACGAAGAGGGAAUGGGGGGUAUGUCCUAGGGGGCGUGGGGUGAUGGGUUAGGCUUAUAUACGGGGGAGGGAAUUGAUCCUGGGCCGUCCGAUCUUCUGAGAUCAAUGGCCCAGAUCAAUUCAGUUAAAAAGAACGAUGUCGUUUGACUUUGGUUGGGGGGUCGGUUCGAACCUGAUACAAAUGGAUCGGGUUGGAGACGGGUUACUGAGAGGGAUCUUGGACCGUUGGAUUGGGUGUUUGAACGGUUAAGAUUGAUGGGUGACGAAACGAUGUAGUUUUAUCAUCAUACUACGUCGUUUCGUCCGUCUCUGAAACCAGUUGUUUGGAUUGGGCUAGGGAUGAAGUUUGGGCCUGAAUUUCACCUGGCCCAAUCCGAAUUUCCUUACUACUUUAUCCAUUUUCCCUUUUUCUUUAAUUACAAAAAUUAAACAAAAAGAAAUCCUAAAUAAAUCGUAAGAAAUAAAAAAUAAAAUUUCACACAUACUGUUUAACCUAUAAUAAUUAACACACAGGUUAAACAUUAAAUAGAACCAAAGACAAGAAACACAUAUUUAUAUUUUUUGUGAUUUUCUUUUAACCAAAUUAUGGUUAAUUAAUUUCUAAAUGUAUUUUUGUAUUUUAUCCUUUUAUAUAAACUAAUGAUUAAUUAAUUGUAAAAAAAUGCAACAUUAAUUCCUAAAUGCAUACGUACCUAUAUUACUAUUUUUCUGUAUUUUUCCUUAAUUAGAAUAAAAUGCACAUGCACAGACGAAAUGUCAUGAAAAUUCAAAAAUUGCAUGCAAAGAAAAAUUAUUUGUGAUUUCUUUUGGAGUAGUUCUUGCGAGGCAAAAAUCACGUGCUCACAGCUGCCCCUCUUUGUCCGAAAAUACGAAGAGUUUUCGUACAAAGAUAAAGUGAGCGGAUACGAGCGAUUUUUUGCCCGUUUGACUAUUCCGUGUGAAGCAUUUUUGAAAGACUUGACCGAACCUUGCUUCAAAGGUUUCCUACAUAUCCCUGGCUAAAAGGGAAUCAGGUCAAUGUAGUUCGGGAAGUUUUGGUAGCUGGGACUACCAUGGGACUGCUUUUUGCUGUUGCUACUGCCUCCCGAUCUCCUUAUUACACUGUGCCAAAAGAAAAUAAGAAGCUAGACUAAGCUAGGAAUUACAAAAUCUUAUCUGUCUUCACUUUUCUCUAGUUGCCUCACUCUUGUCGUCUUGUGUUUUCCCUGGUGCCUUUCUUUCGAAAACUGCUGGGGACGACACUGGCCUUUUGCCUUUUUUGAGCAUAAGCUUUAUUAUUCUGUUUUGUCUGCUGGGGACAACUGCUUCUUAUAUUCAAGCUUGUUAUGCUGGAGAUCUUCGUUGUAUUCCUCCUGAUUACUGAUUUCUGUUUGAUCUGGAAAUGUGUUCCUCUGUUCUGCAGGCGGGCUCCUGACUUCAACAUCUUCCUCAAAAUUCUAACAUCUCUAUUCUCCAGACGGGUUCCUGAUUUCUUCAACUUCCCAAAAUAAUCCAGCCUUUAUUCUCCAAGCGGGCUCCUGACUUCAAUACUUCUUAAAUUUUCAGCCUCCAUUCUCCAAGCGGGCUCCUGACUUCAACAAUUUCUUAAAUUCUAUCACCUCUAUUCUCCAGGCGGGNNNNNNNNNNNNNNNNNNNNNNNNNUCCUUUGAUAUAACUGGUCAUGACACACAGCUGCCAAUCUCUUUUGGAGUAGUUCUUGCGAGGCAAAAAUUACGUGCUCACAAGGUAGACAAUAAUAUAUUUAUCAAUAAUGAAACAAUUAACAAAAACGACCUCAAGAAGCAUUGUUGUAAAGUGAGAAGUAGGGCAAGGUACUACAACAGUUUGUAGGAAGUGUUGGGGCAAGUGUCGGGUAUGGGUUCCCGGAACCAGUAACUUCUAUCUAUCACAAUUAUUUUUCAAUGCUAGCUAUGACAAAGAAUUUUGCAAAACUCCGUAAGAAAUGCUAUUUUUUUAAACCUUGAAAGUUUUUUAGGUGAAAAUUGGAGAAUUACAUAUUUUUUGAUCUGUUAAUCGAACCAUAUUAUAAACCACUGGAAUAACCCAGCAGCAUACAACAAUGACAUUGUUUCUUGCUUGUACUAUUAAAUUUGAGACAAUGACGCUACAUUUUCUGCAGAAAAUAAUUUCUAUCGAGUAUUUCUUAUGCCCAAUGUGUUCUUUCACACUAAUUUCGAAAACUCUUUUUUUUUGCGUUCUAAGAUUGUGCGGUUGAGUUUAUGUGGUUAUGGCGUCGUCUUAAAAGAAGGGCCGUUUUGAGAAGUACAUUUACGCCCUUAAUUUGCUUUAUUACCCGCGUUAUUAUAGCCCAUUUCUGUAAAUUUAUUUUGUCUAGGGCGGUGGCUGACACUACUUUGAUUACUUUGCGUUCUUACUUGUCUCCCAUGGCUAAUAGGUAAAUAUCGGUGAGAACAAGAACAUAUAGACAAGAUGUUCUGCAUGUUGCCACCCUCAAAGUCUCUACCAAGAAACGACAUCGUUGGAGGCUUUCUUUCUGUUUGCAACAUUGACUCAUGAAUGAGAAAUCUCAGUAGGUGGUUCUUUGGUCAGGUUGUUAUUUUUGAGUUUCUUUCUUGGUGAUCCUAAUUGUUGUUUUAUGUGUUUGAUGUUGUUGUCCAGGUUAUAACUUUUAGCUAAUGGCCGUAGUUGAGUUACUUUAAUAGGUUGGUUUGCCUGAUUUAAUAGGUGUGACCUUAGCCAAUUGCUAAACUACUUAUGAGCUAACUAAAAUUGUAGUCUAUAAUUCAGGUUCUUCGUAUUUUGUUGUUGAAAUUGGUAGGUUGAAUCCUCGAUUUUAUUCUAAGAAAAGUCUUUGCUAUUUUUUAGUAUUUUUAAAUUUUGUAUUUGUGUUCUUUAUAGGUUCUAGUGCGUAUGUUAUCUGCCGUCUGAAUCUAGAGGCUUUUUUAGGCAACUGGAAUCACUUAGUCAAAAUUCUGUUGAUGGAGAUGGUCAAUUUCCCUGAAAAAAAGGGUACAUGUGUCUUACAUAUAUUGUGUUUUUGCAUUGGGGCACCCGUGUUUUCUAUUAGGAAAACUACAAAAAUGCAUUUUUUCUGAAUAAUAUUUAAUCUACUUGAUUUAGAAAAUGUUAGUUAAUGUGUGUUUUUAAUGUGAUUUGUGAUUCUAAUAUAUCAAUGGAUAUUACUCUAUGGUAUUAUGUCAGUAUGUUAUGAUUCUUUGGGGUUGGUUCCAGUUGUUGAUAAGAGACUUUUAUCUAACGUUAAAUAGUUACUGGAUUCUGAUUAUUAGUAGACAUUUGGGGUCACAUUGUGUCAAACGGUGUAUGUAUGUAUAUGUGUGUAUACAUAAUAUGCAAUAACAGAAUACCUAUACAAACAUUAUAAAUGACACUGCAACACAAAUAGCUCUAUAUCUUGAUGGUUAAGCGCCUACUAUUCAGAGUUUAGUCUAGAGUUCAAACCUUGGUCAUGAAUUGCGCUUUUUUUAAAAUUAAAAAAAAUGGUCAAAGUAAAAUUUUUAAUUUCUGCCCAAUGUAGGUUGUUUACAAACUAGCUCUUUUUGACUCUAGAGACUAGCUCUCAAAAAUAGCCUCUAAAAAAAUAACCUAGUGCACACCUCAGUCUUUUACCUGUCUGCUGAAACAUACAGGUUGUGAGAGAGAGGCUUGAACCAUAACUCCUUACCAAGUGAGGAUAAUACAAAGCAAUCAGCUUACGAUUCAUUUCCAUAAUAAACUUCUUUUUCUUUUUUUAUUUGCAUAACUUAGAUAAUUAAUUUGUUGAUAGUUGAUACUUGAUACAACCUUAAACAAGAUUAUUCAAGCAAACUUAAAUUGGAAUAUUAUUUUUUUUAAUCGGAUGUCCUCGAGGGACAGCAAACUUAAAAUGUAUAUAGCAAUUUUGUUCAUUUGUUCACUUCUUCGAAUGUUGACAUUACUUAUAGAAAAUCCUACAUACUCCUUUGUAGAUAUUAUACUCUGUGGUGUAGUAUUAGGAGUGAAUGAUAUAGUACGAUUCCCCGUAUGUAUUGAUUCUUUAAAGUUGGCUUUGGUUGUUGAUCCAACGUUGAACAGUUAAACGUGUGCUUAUAACUUAGUUUUAAGGUGAGAAUGUGCUUAGAACUUAUAGGAUAAAAGUUUACAGAGUCGGUGGUUGAUUUAUGAGCUUAUGGAUACUGCUGCUUUUCCACUAAUAUUUUUUCCUUUAUAAAGAGGUGUUAAACAUAAUAACAAAAUGAAAGAGUUUUUUUUUGUUGUCUUAUUGUGAAUAUGUUGCUGGAUUUCGACUUCUCAAAAAUAUGUUCUUAGGUUCUGACAUUGAGACGACAGAACUUCAGGUAAAGAUUCGUGAGGAGUUAACUAUGAAACUUAGUUUACAUUCAGUUCCUCUGGUUUUUGUCUUGAAAAUGAUUGACAAAAUCCAAGUUUGCAUUAUUUACAUUUGGUAGUUUGCAUUUUAACUGUGUUAUUUAAUUUGUAAAUGGUAAUGAAUACAAGGAUUCUUAAAAUUCCUCAUAGUUUUAUUUAGUUGUUGGUUGCUGUGUGUUUCGUCUAUUUGUCGUGUCCAGCUACUCAUAAUUGGAAACUGGCGACUAAGGGUGCCAGCUGAGCUACAAGCUUAGUUUCUUUUUUAUUUUUUAAUUAGGGGAAUUUGCAGUACUUUAUAUCCACCAUUAGAUUGACCAUUUUAGUUAUUCAUCAGUUUGCUUUAGAAAAGAAAGAAUAGAUUUGGCGUUCCCCGUAAUAUAUGCUCCUACCAUUUUUAUGGCUUGCGACUUAGUUAUGGGCAUGUGUUUGGCAAACACCUGCAUUGCUUCUUGUACAUCUAUUUGACCCGCCAACUUCGUGGAGUUUUUGAGGUUUGUAGCACUACUUUUUACGACAUGGUGAUUUAAUAGAGCAAUCAGAGAGGUAGUAACAUUUUUCUUCGUAACUGCGAUCCUUAUAAUAAUUCAUUUUAUUCUUUUCAUUGAACUUCAAAAAUCAGUCUACUCUUGGAUGAUAACUUUAAGUAACAACUACAGAACUGAAUAUUGAAACAAAGAUAAUUUCCCGAGCAUCUGUCUUUCAUUUUUCCAGUGCAGAGCUUGAUGUUUAGGGACAUGCUCGAGUGUCGGCUUUGCUUUUGUAGGAAGCAAAAAAGUGUUUGAAUUUUCCAACAUGAAUUUCUGUAUCUAACCUUUAGUUAUUUAUGUUGAGGAAAACCUCUUGAUUAUUAGCUAAGUAAGGAGUUAGGAAAGAACCCAAUGACAUUUUUAUAUCCAAGAAGCUCUAUCAUCUAAAAUAUAACUGCUACAAAAGUAUGUCUGAGAAAAAACUACCAUAUAUGUUUUAAUAUAUGCAUUCAUCUCAAUUUAAAAAAAUUCCUCCAACCGAUGCACAUUGAUCUAAAAUAUUGAUCUCUUAUUCUAGAAUUGUUGGAUGGCUCUACAGUGACAUUGAUUUAACGCUGCUUUGACCUCAUGGAAAUGAACAUUCUUUACGUAUAUUUUUGUUUCUGUUUUGGCCUCCCUCCUUUUGGUGUGGGAGACAGAUUUAUCACCAGUAGAAGCUUUUCCAGGUUUGAUGGUAAACAGUAUUACCAUAUUGAACUUGUGAAUCACUGCUCUAGCAAGAUGAAUUCAGUAAUAGUUGUUUAAUCAUUUGACAUUUAGGACUAUCUUGUUGCAAAAAUUAUUUUUAUGUUACUUUUCUGGCAGUUAACUUUCCUAAUGGGUGAUUACGUCUUAAGUAAAUAGAGUUCAAUUAGUUUAAUUUGGUUGAACAAGUUGUGUUUCACUAUUUUGUGAGUGGUGUUUUGCAUCAACAUAAAAAGGGUAGGAUGGAAGCAUACCUCGCUGAAGGACGUUUAGUAGAAGGAUUACACUAAAUGUAAUAUCCAGGUCAAAAGUGUUACUUGACUCUCUUAUGCCUAGCUCAGAUAAAUUACGUUCUCCCUCUUCUUCCCUGAGGUCUUUUUUAAAUUAAAAAAUAUCAAUAUUUACUCUAUGAAGGUCCAUGUCUUAUUAAAAUUGGCGUGUAGUUUGUUUGAGUUGUAAAGUUUAAAUCUUCUUUGGUUCUCUUCUAUAGGAAUUAGCUCUAUGGUUUGUGCAAUGUUAGAUAUAAGGGGGCUCUUAAUAGUCUUGUCCAUGAACCAUGUAUUUUUCUGUUUGCAGAAGACCAAGAGCACUAGUGGAGCAGUAGGAAAUUCAUUAAAAAUGAAAAGUAAAAAAAAACUGUAUAACAUGAAGGACAAGGAAAAUUAAAUGGAACCUUUGGGUCUAUUGUCAUGUAUUACCCUAUAAGGUUCAAGCCGUAAAGAUGGAUUUCUUUGAUGGAAAGGAAGUGUACAUUUACAAAGUGCUUAUGAUGAUUGUUACUUCAAGUAAUUUUUUGGCUUGUACAUUUAUAUUUGCUACUCAGUAAAAUAUAUUGGUCCGGUAACUAACGUAAAUAGUUGCUUUUGAAAGAUUCGACAAUAAAUCUUAUCUCCUUUGUGGCUUGAAUUUGUUUUCUCCCUUCUAUGAUCUGAGUGAUUAGAAAACAUCAAGUUUUAUCCAUAGUUUGAUUGAAGAGCACGAUGUAGGAGAGUAAUAAAGAGAGUAAAAGCCUAGGAUCAACCGAAAGUUGCCCUUAAGGAAGGGCUCAUACAUGCCAAUCAAUUUGAGUGCCCCAGAUGAGAUCAAAGCUUCUAUCAUAUGAGGUACAUAUGAUGAGAGCAGCAAAAUAAAUGCUCCAAUAAUUGACCUAUGAAGAUUAUCUCACUUAAAAACAUAGAUCUAAACGAUUAGUUGCUAUGAGAAACUGGUAAGUUGCAAUUAGUUUAGUAUAGCCUUGUCAUUCUCUUUUUACUUUUCUUAAUAUUCGUUCUUUUAUUUAGAACAAUUAUUUUAAUAUAAUUUUGGUAUCCAUCUGAGAAGUUCCAAUAUAGUCUAUUCAAUAUCUUAAGUAUAAUUUUUGUUGCCAGAAAAAAACAGCAAAUAGCACAAAUAGAAGUGCACAAAAUUGAAAAGACAUUCGUCUUUAUUCAUAUGUAAAAACAUAGAUACUACUUAUUGGCAGAGGAUUUUUCAUAAGUGGUAUCACUAUUUCUAGUAAAAGGGCCGUAACAGUCAAAAAAUAUUUUGCAAAGCCAAGGGAGUUGAAACCCAAGACUUCUCACAUAAUACUUGAAGCUAACAACAACUAGACUACUGAGAUGUUUUGUUGCAAGUGAUGUCACUUUUAAUAGUUUUAUCUUGUAUUUCUGUUUUACUUAUUAUUUUUAUAUAUACAAAUAGUAAAAUAUUUCGACAAAGCGGUCUCACCACCAUGUGAAUACGCCCCUGCUUAUUGGUCAACAUUUUGAAUAUACAGUUAUUUUAUUGAGACAUCAUACUUCAUGUGGAAAAAAAUUUAAAUUUUAAGCCUUUUAGGUUAUCUCUUCAACGCGCUAAUAACCGUAGACUUGCACAUGUAUAUUUCAAAUAACAAAUCAUCAGAUUGAGCACUUGAAAUUGAUGCAUCACAACUCCAAAAAUUAAUCGUAGUAUAGGUUACUCUCCGUGAAAAGUUCUUUACUUCUUUCAUAAAAUAAUAUUCCCUUCAUUUCAAAUUAGAUGAGGUACUUUCCUUUUUAGUUUGUUCCAAAAUAUAUGAAACAUUUCUAAAUUUGGAAAUAAUUCAACUUUAAACUCUUUAUUUUACCCAUUUUACCCUUAAAGAGAAGCUUUUAUAACCAUACAAAUGUCAUGGCUCCACAAUGUUUUUACCCCUUAAGCUUUUAAGAUCACAAGUUGUAAAAAAAAAUUCUUUUUUUUUAAAUUCUGUGUCAAGUCAAACUACUUCAUCUAAAUUAAAACGGACGGAGCAUGUACCUUUUACUUAUUAGGUUUGGGCGCUGGCUCAGCACGGGCCAUGCCCCCCUAGUUUCUAUUUUUAUUUUUAUUAUAUUAUAUAGACCAAAGAGGUCGACCAAGGGUAAAAGAGUAAUUUAGAUACUUCUAUUAAAAUAAUCACUUUUAUCGUUGGGUGUUUAUUUCUUGUGGUUUCUAGGUUUGGCUCUAGAAGCAUCCUUCUUCAAUCUCUCUCAUCCCCAAAAUCAGAUGCAAGACUACUCUUAUUCCAACAGCAAUUUCAUAUUAUUCUUGUGCUUUUCUUCAUCUUCGCACCUGGUGUUGUCGUUUCAGGUAUGCUUUCUGUUAGUAAUUUUUUGCCCAAAUCUUCUUCUAAUUCUCUUAGAAUUUUCCAAAUUCAUGGCUGAUGUUGUUAUUUUUUUGCAUCUCUUUUCAAUGUUUUUCGGCCAUUCAUUUUCUUUUUGUUUCUCUUUUCGUCCUUAAUCUGUUAUUUUUGCAUGAUUUUUAUUUUUUCUUCAGUCUUCCAAAGACUACCCUUUCAAUACGUUCCAUCUACUCGGAUUGGGGUUAUAAUUAAUUUCAGGUAUGAUUUUCUUAUUUUUAGCCAAAAUUUCUUCCAUUUCUCUUAUGUCUUCCCAGUUUUAUGGCUGAAGUUAGUGACAAAUGCCAUUUUUUCUUUCGGUUCUCUUCGGUCUUCCCCAUUUCUACUAAUUCAUAUUCUUGGAAGUUAAUAUGAAUUUCGAAAUUGGUACUUAGUUGAAUUUGUCAUCAACUAAAACGAUAUCUUGAUUUUAGCACAUUUUAGAGACAGGAUCUAUGCAUGUUAUGUGUCAAGACAACAACUUAAAUUAAUUCCCGAACUUUUGAGUACAAAUCUUCUUCUGCUACUUGAAAUUAUCGUACGGGUCCUCAUUUUUUAGUUUUUUUAUUCGGGUGUAUUCUAUGUUUUGGAAAUUUAUGCAUUGCUACUGUGAAAGGAUUACCUACAAAAUGGCAUCGUUGGAAUUUGAUUUCUGCUUCGUUGCUAUUCCAGAUUUCGUAUAGGCUGCUUUUUUAUGAUGCCCCUCUUUUGGAACUCCGAGCUUAGGCCUUUAGAUAUAUAGCAGAGUACACAUUAAAACGGAGAUGGAAUGGAUGUCGUUGUCAAUUCGUUGUCUAUUUCUUUAUUUGCCGAUCAAAUGGACUGUUGUGACAGAAUUAUAUUCUUGGGUAAUGUACUUUUUUGAGUGUUUAAUAAAUUAAUAAAAGGUGAUAGUAUGUGCUUUGUCGUAUAGAGAUGAAAUGUUGUUGCAUUCAAUGUUUUCAGAAAUGCCAAGUUGUAUUGAUUAAGUUUAACCGUUUAUUACACCUAGCUUUGUAACUUCCUAUCUGAACAUGUUACUAUAAAUUCUUUUAUUCAUCAUUACAGAUAAACUGUUGUCAAAAUAAUGUUAUUUGUUGUCUUUAUUUUAGGAACUCUGAAUUAUAGUUAGAGGCACUGUCAACCUAAAAAGGUAAGUUUAUGCUAUUUUACUUAAUGGAAUCAAUGCAUAAACUAUGACUUUACACAAAACUAUUAUUUUGUAUGUGUCAUUGGAAUGAAUGAAGUGUAUUUUGUGUCACUGUUAAGAAUUUAUGCUCUUCGUAUUAGUAAUACCAUAAUAUAAUUUAUGUCGUUUAUGUUUGUUGUGUCAUGCAGGCUUUGAACGAGACUCUACUUUUUAUUGUCUCUAUCUGGUGUCAGAUUUAAAUAAACAAUAAACAAUAAGCAAAACUUCCUUGUGAAAAGUUUGUAAACCAUAAUAGCUCUUUGAGCUUAGCAUUAUGAAGGUCAAAGUAUAUAUGAAUUCUGGGGUGAAAUUAAGACAAUGUGAGACAUCUAUAUCAUCGUCUUUUUGAACAUUCUAUUGUUAAUAAUUCAAGUGGUAUUUUAUCGUCCUUUUAUUGUCAUAAGAGACCCAUCUUUCUCUCGUAAAAGAGGUUAUAAAGUAUCAUUUCUUAUUUUCAAUAUAGUCUAUAGCACUACGUUUAAUCGUGAUUAUGGGAACAUUUGCCUAGGCUUCUACCUCAUCUCAGUUGGUAAUUAAUUUAAUUAGACAAAUUUGUCAGAUACAUAAAGAGCUUGAAGUUACAAUGCAAUAAUAGAUACCAUCGUUAAUCUACUUGAGUACAACUUCCUAUAAUUGAAAUUGGAUAAUCACAUAAGAGAAACUACAGCCAUGUACUAAAUUUAGGGCAAACAACCUACUUUUUUUCUUGGCCAUAUUGACGUAUUCCUCCGUCGCCUUUACGAGUAUACAAGACAUCGCUAUUAGUAGCAGGCUCCGAUAGAAUAUGUUUCUAGACUAAGAAGUGAAAUGACAAGGACCGGAUACUUUUAGCAGUUGGAAUAAGUUCACUAAACAAUUUUAAGUUUAGUUUUUGUUUGAAUGGUAAACUAUUUUUUUGCCCCUUUUCAGUUUACCGCACUUAAAUUAAAUCUUAUCUUUUUGUCAUUUACCUUGAGUGAUUUUUAAGAACCUACUCAGUACUUAAAUUUUUUCAAAUAUAGCCUUAUCCCGUUUAAAGAGGUUUAAAUAAUACUCCCCUGAGAUAUCAUAUGAUGUCGGAAAUAUUUGUUGUACUACCUUAAUAGGAAUUUUGAUAUGCUUUUGGGUUACUUUAAUUAUAUUGGUCCACUUGGCAGUUUGAAACUUUAGAUUGUGAUUCCGAGUAUGUCAGUCAAACAAAAUAAAUGCAAGAGUUGCAUUUUGUUUUGCUGUGGAGUUUUUAAGGUGUCAGUUAGUGUGUAAAAUACUGAAGGAAGAUCAUGAUUCAACUUAAUCAUGACAUAUUAGUUUGUGAGAAUGAGAUUCUAUUUAGUUUAAGAUUUCACCAUCCAUUUACUAUAUAAAUUCCCUUCUACCAAAAGAUCUUCAGUAUAAAAAAUAAACUUUUAUAUCUGUUCUCUUAAAUUAUAUAUAAAGUAAUCUAGCUGAAGUAGAUAUGGUUUGCUUAAAAACCUCCAACAUGUAUUUAAAGCUGUAUAUGAUUUCGCUGGAAAUUAUAGAGCAUUGUUUAGUGCGCUCAAAGCGGAAGCAUGUUAUAGUGAAUAGUGAAUAGUGAGACUUUUCAUGAUGGGAUUUCUCUGUCGUCCAAUUCAAACAUCUCUUCUUCUUAUUUUUAUUUUUUUCUUUUCUCCGCAGGACUAUCUUCUGAUGAGAGGAAGAGUCUAAAAGGAGUUAUCAACUUCCAUGCGCUGCAACAUACCUUUGCCAAUGUCAAUUUAGCAUAUGAAUAUUGUUGGAAGUGUCCAAAUGUGCAUGUGUUCUACAUGUUUACAUAGCAGAUGUACUAACGUACUUUAAAUGAUUGCACUUCUCCUAAUUUGCAAUUUCAAUGUGAGUUUUGUCAUGGGAAAUACCUUGCUUUUAUAUUCAUAAUGAGUUUUUUUAUUUUAGAAAUAUUUGUCCUCA
rnacentral:lncRNA from 1 species